GACGAACGCUGGCGGCGUGUCUAAUACAUGCAAGUUGAGCGCUGAAGGUUGGUACUUGUACCAACUGGAUGAGCAGCGAACGGGUGAGUAACGCGUGGGGAAUCUGCCUUUGAGCGGGGGACAACAUUUGGAAACGAAUGCUAAUACCGCAUAAAAACUUUAAACACAAGUUUUAAGUUUGAAAGAUGCAAUUGCAUCACUCAAAGAUGAUCCCGCGUUGUAUUAGCUAGUUGGUGAGGUAAAGGCUCACCAAGGCGAUGAUACAUAGCCGACCUGAGAGGGUGAUCGGCCACAUUGGGACUGAGACACGGCCCAAACUCCUACGGGAGGCAGCAGUAGGGAAUCUUCGGCAAUGGACGAAAGUCUGACCGAGCAACGCCGCGUGAGUGAAGAAGGUUUUCGGAUCGUAAAACUCUGUUGGUAGAGAAGAACGUUGGUGAGAGUGGAAAGCUCAUCAAGUGACGGUAACUACCCAGAAAGGGACGGCUAACUACGUG
rnacentral:rRNA from 1 species